UACGUAGGUGGCAAGCGUUGUCCGGAUUUACUGGGCGUAAAGAGCUCGUAGGCGGUCUGUCGCGUCGGCUGUGAAAUCCCGAGGCUCAACCUCGGGUCUGCAGUCGAUACGGGCAAACUGGAGUGUUGCAGGGGAGACUGGAAUUCCUGGUGUAGCGGUGAAAUGCGCAGAUAUCAGGAGGAACACCAAUGGCGAGGGCAGCACUCUGGGACGGUACUGACGCUGAGACGCGAAAGCGUGGGGAGCGAACAGG
rnacentral:rRNA from 1 species